AAAAACCAAUGAAUUGUACACUUUACAUUGGUGAAUUAUAUCUUAGCAAAGUUGUUUUUUUUUUUUAAAGAAUGUGGAGUCUAGCUUUUUUUUUUUUUCAGACCAAGUCUCACUCUGUCACCCAGGCUGGAGUGUGGUGGUGACACCUCGGCUCACUGCAACCUCCAGCUCCCAGGUUCAAGUGAUUCUCCUGCCUCAACCUCCCUAGUAGCUGGGAUUACAGGUGUGUGCCACCACGUCCAGCUAAUUUUUUUGUUUUUGUAUUUUUUUAAUAGCGACAGAGGCCAGGCUGGUCUCAAACUGCUGACCUCAGGUGAUCCACCGGCCUAGGCCUCCCAAAGUGCUGGGAUUAUGGGUGUGAGCCACCAUGUCUGGCCAGAGUCUAGCAUUUUUACAAAAGUUUUCAAGGAGCAGGUGGUGUUUGGUUACAUGAGUAAGUUCUUUUAGUGGUGACUUCUGAGAUUUUGCUGCACCUAUCACCUGAGCAGUGUACACUGUACCCAAUAUGUAGGCCUUUAUCCCUCACCCCCAACCCACCCUUUCUUUAGGGUACCUUUUAACUAGACU
rnacentral:lncRNA from 1 species